rnacentral:rRNA from 1 species
CAAUAGCGUAUAUUUAAGUUGCUGCAGUUAAAAAGCUCGUAGUUGGAUUUCGGGUGGGAAUGGCCGGUCCGCCGUUUCGGUGUGCACUUGCUACGCCCACCUUGCUGCCGGGGACGUGCUCUUGAGUUCACGCUCGGGACACGGAGUCGGCGAGUUUACUUUGAGUAAAUUAGAGUGUUCAAAGCAGGCCUACGCUCUGAAUACAUUAGCAUGGAAUAACACGAUAGGACUCUGGCCUAUCUUGUUGGUCUGUAGGACCGGAGUAAUGAUUAAGAGGGACAGUCGGGGGCAUUCGUAUUUCAUUGUCAGAGGUGAAAUUCUUGGAUUUAUGAAAGACGAACUACUGCGAAAGCAUUUGCCAAGGAUGUUUUCAUUAA